rnacentral:rRNA from 1 species
UGCCUACGGGAGGCAGCAGUGAGGAAUAUUGGUCAAUGGCCGAGAGGCUGAACCAGCCAAGUCGCGUGAGGGAAGACGGCCCUACGGGUUGUAAACCUCUUUUGUCGGGGAGCAAAGCGAACCACGUGUGGUUCAUUGAGAGUACCCGAAGAAAAAGCAUCGGCUAACUCCGUGCCAGCAGCCGCGGUAAUACGUAGGUGGCGAGCGUUGUCCGGAAUUACUGGGUGUAAAGGGAGUGUAGGCGGGGAAGCAAGUCAGAAGUGAAAACUAUGGGCUUAACCCAUAGCCUGCUUUUGAAACUGUUU